rnacentral:misc_RNA from 1 species
GAUGAAGAACGUAGCGAAAUGCGAUAAGUAAUGUGAAUUGCAGAAUUCAGUGAAUCAUCGAAUCUUUGAACGCACAUUGCGCCCGCCAGUAUUCUGGCGGGCAUGCCUGUUCGAGCGUCAUUACAACCCUCAGGCCCCCGGGCCUGGCGUUGGGGAUCGGCGGAGCCCCCCGUGGGCACACGCCGUCCCCCAAAUGCAGUGGCGGUCCCGCCGCAGCUUCCAUCGCGUAGUAGCUAACACCUCGCGACUGGAGAGCGGCGCGGCCACGCCGUAAAACACCCAACUCUUCUGAAGUUGACCUCGAAUCAGGUAGGAAUACCCGCUGAUCUUAAGCAUAUCAAUAAGCGGAGGA